UACGUAGGGGGCAAGCGUUGUCCGGAAUCAUUGGGCGUAAAGAGCGUGUAGGCGGCUCGGUAAGUCCGCUGUGAAAGUCCAGGGCUUAACCCUGGAAUGCCGGUGGAAACUGUCGAGCUAGAGUCCGGAAGAGGCGAGUGGAAUUCCUGGUGUAGCGGUGAAAUGCGCAGAUAUCAGGAGGAACACCAAUGGCGAAGGCAGCUCGCUGGGACGGUACUGACGCUGAGGAGCGAAAGCAUGGGGAGCGAACAGG
rnacentral:rRNA from 1 species